GAGAUAUAUAGGGGAUUAUCCUAUGAUUUGACUUUGACGAAGUCAUGUAAUUCUUUACUAAUAUCUC
rnacentral:tRNA from 1 species